GAUGAACGCUGGCGGCGUGCCUAAUACAUGCAAGUCGAACGCAUUGUGGUUGAAAUGAUAUGAAGAACUUGUUCAGAUUUGAUUUUCAACAUUGCAAUGAGUGGCGAACGGGUGAGUAACACGUGGGAAACCUACCUCUUAGCAGGGGAUAACAUUUGGAAACAAAUGCUAAUACCGUAUAAUAAUUAAAACCGCAUGGUUUUAGUUUAAAAGAUGGUCUUGCUAUCACUAAGAGAUGGUCCCGCGGUGUAUUAGUUAGUUGGUGAGGUAAUGGCUCACCAAGACAAUGAUACAUAGCCGAGUUGAGAGACUGACCGGCCACAAUGGGACUGAGACACGGCCCAUACUCCUACGGGAGGCAGCAGUAGGGAAUCUUCCACAAUGGACGAAAGUCUGAUGGAGCAACGCCGCGUGUGUGAUGAAGGGUUUCGGCUCGUAAAACACUGUUGUAAGAGAAGAAUGACAUUGAGAGUAACUGUUCAAUGUGUGACGGUAUCUUACCAGAAAGGAACGGCUAAAUACGUGCCAGCAGCCGCGGUAAUACGUAUGUUCCAAGCGUUAUCCGGAUUUAUUGGGCGUAAAGCGAGCGCAGACGGUUAUUUAAGUCUGAAGUGAAAGCCCUCGGCUCAACCGAGGAAUUGCUUUGGAAACUGGAUAACUUGAGUGCAGUAGAGGAAAGUGGAACUCCAUGUGUAGCGGUGAAAUGCGUAGAUAUAUGGAAGAACACCAGUGGCGAAGGCGGCUUUCUGGACUGUAACUGACGUUGAGGCUCGAAAGUGUGGGUAGC
rnacentral:rRNA from 1 species